CGGAGAGGGCGCCUGAGAGAUAGCCACUACUUCUAAGGGAGGCAGCAGGCGCGUAAAUUGCCCAAUCCCUGAACUGUGAGGCAGUGAACAAAAAUAACAAUACCGGACAUAUUUUGUCUGGUGAUUGGAAUGAGAAAAAUGUAAAAACCUUAACGAGGAACAAUUGGAGGACAAGUCUGGUGCCAGCACCCGCGGUAAUUCCAGCUCCAAGAGUGUAUAUUAAAGUUGCUGCAGUUAAAACGCUCGUAGUCGGAUUUUGGAACUUGCAUGGGGUCGGUCCGCCGCGAUGGCGUGUACUGAACCAUCAGUUCCUUAUUUUUGGAAGUUCGCCACAUUCCUAACCGUUUGUGGUCAUGGGUUUCGGCCCAGGAGCUCCAAAUCAUUUACUGUGAGUAAACUAGAGUGUUCAAAGCAGGCAUAUAUGUGCCCUGAAUACAUUAGCAUGGGAUAAUAGAAUAGGACUUUUGUUUUAUUUUGUUGGUUUUAUGGAGACGAAAGUAAUGAUUAAUGGGAACAAUUGGGGGCAUUCAUAUUCAAUUGCCAGAGGUAAAACUCUAAGAUCAAUUGAAGAUGCACGGAAGCGAAAGCUUAUGCCAAGGAUGUGUCCAUCGAUCAAGAACGAAAGUUGGGGGAUCGAAGACGAUCAGAUACCGUCGUAGUCUCAACCAUAAACGAUGACGACCCGGGAUUCGAAAACGUUGUUUUGA
rnacentral:rRNA from 1 species